rnacentral:rRNA from 1 species
UACGUAGGGGGCAAGCGUUGUCCGGAUUUAUUGGGCGUAAAGAGCGUGUAGGCGCCAGGGAGGUCCGUUGUGAAAACUCGAGGCUCAACCUCGAGACGCCGAUGGAAACCCCCUGGCUAGAGUCCGGAAGAGGAGAAUGGAAUUCCUGGGUGUAGCGGUGAAAUGCGCAGAUAUCAGGAAGAACACCCGUGGCUAAGGCGGUUCGUCUAGUACGGUACUGACGCUGAGACG